AUACGUAGGUGACAAGCGUUAUCCGGAUUUACUGGGUGUAAAGGGCGUGUAGGCGGGUUAGCAAGUCAGAAGUGAAAUUCCCGGGCUUAACUUGGGAGCUGCUUCUGAAACUGCUUUACUUGAGUGCUGGAGAGGAUAGUGGAAUUCCUAGGGUAGCGGUAAAAUGCGCAGAUAUUAGGAGGAACACCGGUGGCGAAGGCGGCUAUCUGGACAGUAACUGACGCUGAGGCGCGAAAGCACGGGGAGCAAACAGGAUUAGAUACCCUGGUAGUCCGUGCCGUAAACGAUGAAUACUAGGUGUAGGGGGUAUCGACUCCCUCUGUGCCGCAGUUAACACAUUAAGUAUUCCACCUGGGGAGUACGGCCGCAAGGUUGAAACUCAAAUGAAUUGACGGGG
rnacentral:rRNA from 1 species